ACUGAGACCGGCGUACGGGUGCGUAACGCGUAUACAAUCUGCCUUUCACAUAGGGAUAGCCCGAAGAAAUUUGGAUUAAUACCUAAUGGUAUAUAGAUGUGGCAUCACCUUUAUAUUAAAGCUGAGGCGGUGAAAGAUGAGUAUGCGUUCUAUUAGCUAGUUGGAGAGGUAACGGCUCCCCAAGGCGACGAUAGAUAGGGGUUCUGAGAGGGAUAUCCCCCACACUGGUACUGAGAUACGGACCAGACUCC
rnacentral:rRNA from 1 species